UACGUAGGUGGCAAGCGUUAUCCGGAUUUAUUGGGCGUAAAGAGAACGCAGGCGGUCUCUUAAGUCUGAUGUGAAAGCCUUCGGCUUAACCGGAGUAGUGCAUUGGAAACUGGAGACUUGAGUGCAGAAGAGGAGAGUGGAACUCCAUGUGUAGCGGUGAAAUGCGUAGAUAUAUGGAAGAACACCAGUGGCGAAAGCGGCUCUCUGGUCUGUAACUGACGCUGAGGUUCGAAAGCGUGGGUAGCAAACAGG
rnacentral:rRNA from 1 species